AUUGAACGCUGGCGGAAUGCUUUACACAUGCAAGUCGAACGAUGAACCUUAGCUUGCUAAGGGGAUUAGUGGCGAACGGGUGAGUAAUAUAUCGGAACGCGCCUUGUAAUGGGGGAUAACUAGUCGAAAGAUUAGCUAAUACCGCAUACGCCCUGAGGGGGAAAGUAGGGGAUCUUCGGACCUUACGUUAUAAGAGCGGCCGAUAUCUGAUUAGCUAGUUGGUGGGGUAAUGGCCUACCAAGGCGACGAUCAGUAGCUGGUCUGGGAGGACGACCAGCCACACUGGAACUGAGACACGGUCCAGACUCCUACGGGAGGCAGCAGUGGGGAAUUUUGGACAAUGGGCGCAAGCCUGAUCCAGCCAUUCCGCGUGAGUGAAGAAGGCCUUCGGGUUGUAAAGCUCUUUCGCAAGGGAAGAAAACUUACCAUCGAAUAAAUGGUGAGGCUGACGGUACCUUGAUAAGAAGCACCGGCUAACUACGUG
rnacentral:rRNA from 1 species